AUUGAACGCUGGCGGCAGGCCUAACACAUGCAAGUCGAGCGGAUGAAGGGAGCUUGCUCCUGGAUUCAGCGGCGGACGGGUGAGUAAUGCCUAGGAAUCUGCCUGGUAGUGGGGGAUAACGUCCGGAAACGGGCGCUAAUACCGCAUACGUCCUGAGGGAGAAAGUGGGGGAUCUUCGGACCUCACGCUAUCAGAUGAGCCUAGGUCGGAUUAGCUAGUUGGUGGGGUAAAGGCCUACCAAGGCGACGAUCCGUAACUGGUCUGAGAGGAUGAUCAGUCACACUGGAACUGAGACACGGUCCAGACUCCUACAGGAGGCAGCAGUGGGGAAUAUUGGACAAUGGGCGAAAGCCUGAUCCAGCCAUGCCGCGUGUGUGAAGAAGGUCUUCGGAUUGUAAAGCACUUUAAGUUGGGAGGAAGGGCAGUAAGUUAAGACCUUGCUGUUUUGACGUUACCAACAGAAUAAGCACCGGCUAACUUCGU
rnacentral:rRNA from 1 species